GUGCCAGCCGCCGCGGUAAUACGUAGGGAGCAAGCGUUGUCCGGAAUCAUUGGGCGUAAAGCGCGCGUAGGCGGCCCUGUAAGUCCGCUGUGAAAGUCAAAGGCUCAACCUUUGAAAGCCGGUGGAUACUGCAGGGCUAGAGUCCGGAAGAGGCGAGUGGAACUCCUGGUGUAGCGGUGGAAUGCGCAGAUAUCAGGAAGAACACCAACGGCGAAGGCAGCUCGCUGGGACGGUACUGACGCUGAGGCGCGAAAGCGUGGGGAGCGAACAGGAUUAGAUACCCCCGUAGUCC
rnacentral:rRNA from 1 species